rnacentral:tRNA from 1 species
CCGACCUUAGCUCAGUUGGAAGAGCACAAGACUGUAAUUGGAUAUCUUGGGGUCGCCUGUUCGAACCAGGCAGGUCGGA